rnacentral:rRNA from 1 species
AUUGAACGCUGGCGGAAUGCUUUACACAUGCAAGUCGAACGGCAGCACGGGGGCAGCCCUGGUGGCGAGUGGCGAACGGGUGAGUAAUGCAUCGGAACGUGCCCGGUCGUGGGGGAUAACGUAGCGAAAGUUACGCUAAUACCGCACACGAUCUGAGGAUGAAAGCGGGGGACCUUCGGGCCUCGCGCGAUCGGAGCGGCCGAUGUCAGAUUAGGUAGUUGGUGGGGUAAAGGCCUACCAAGCCGACGAUCUGUAGCUGGUCUGAGAGGACGACCAGCCACACUGGGACUGAGACACGGCCCAGACUCCUACGGGAGGCAGCAGUGGGGAAUUUUGGACAAUGGGCGCAAGCCUGAUCCAGCCAUUCCGCGUGCAGGACGAAGGCCUUCGGGUUGUAAACUGCUUUUGUACGGAACGAAAAGGCUCUGGCUAAUACCUGGGGCUCAUGACGGUACCGUAAGAAUAAGCACCGGCUAACUACGUG